rnacentral:sRNA from 1 species
UUGGCCGUUUCACACAUCCCAAUCAUUCCCAGAUGAUAUAGAUUUGGGGAUGGGCCAGCUCAGAGCCCUGAAUCUGGGCCUGAGUGGUGGCUGAGUCGGUCCGCCUGCCAGCUCUCCUUUAUCUGCACCACCAGGGGGAGCACUCCAGCACUGCUCAGACUAGGUCAUCCAAUGCCAUCACCAGCAGGUGGCAGGGUCAGCUCUCUUGCUCUCCUGCCCUCAGGGCCUGCUCACCCGCACCCGUGCCUCCAGAGCCAGUUCCCCUGUGCUGCCCAUUCAAGAUACAGGGUCUGCUCUCCCAAAAUGCAGCGCCUGAAACGGGCUGGGCAAGCUCUCCUGCACUUACACCUUUGGAACUAGCUCACUCAUGCCUUUGCCAUCAGGGUCAGGCUCCACGGUGCUGUCCAGAUGAGGGCUGGCUCACCUGUGCCCCUGCUACCAUGGUCAACUCUGUGGUGCUGUCCAGAUGACUCUACAUUCUGUCUCCUCUCCAUGCAAAUAUCUAACACUUCCUUUUUCUGUGUGAGGACACAGAAGAAUGAGAGGAGCAUCUCAAGCAGCUUCAUUGUGCUUGUAAAAUGAACCCCAUCUAACCUUCUCUGAGUGAGUGAGGACUUUCAAGAUUCUUCUUUUUGGAAGGACAGUUCUAAAGCUUUGAGGACAUCAAACACAGGCCUGGCAAGAGCUAAGUAGCCGGGGGUUAAGGGAUGCGUGACUCACCUGUGACUCCGGUUGAUGCACCUGUGACCAUGCCCUCUACCUAUCCUUUGUUAAGGGUGUUCUGGAGUCAGAGCAAGAUGGCAUCCAGCAAGAUCCUCCAGUGAACCUGCUCCACAGAUGUGCGCCAACUCAGACCUGCUGUUUUAUACACCAAACUGACUUCACAAAACUGAAUGCAAUGAAUCCUGCCUGCUGUUGGCCAAACAAAAUGAAAAUUUGCAUUGGGGAAGGUGAGAGGAAAGAGGCUAGCUAGAGCACCUCUCCCCUAAUCCCUAUCAGUAAGGUAGGACAAGGGAGAGGGAGUUAUGCUCUGAACUUCCAACUUGAAAGCCAGUACCCGGCCCAUGGUGAGGAAAACCACUUCCGGGCAAAGCUGUGGGAUUUCUGCAGGGUCCAUACCAACAAUGAGCCACAGAAACCAGUUUAGGCCAGGUAACAGACAGAGUGGCCACUCCCCUCUCAUUAACAUGUGGCUGCACAGGAUGCAUUAGGGAGUCACCCUUGGGGAGCAGAGCAUGAAAGCCAGCAGAGACAGGCCCAUCACAGUGAGAGCCGAUGCCUUAUAGAAACCAAGGCCCCGUGUACACCCCAUGGAGCCCCUGGACCAGCUCAGCACUAGAUGGAGAUCUGUGUGCAUUCCCAGCCUUUGUGGGCUUGGAGGCACUCGUCCUUCUCCUAAAACUCCUAAAUCUCACCCGCACUGUGAGAUUCAGGUUUUAUCUCGCUUACUGACAGCCUUGGUGACCAAGGGACUCUCUCCACCACCCACCCAUCCCUUAACUCCAGGUCGCUUAGCUCUUGUUUGAGGACAAGGCUUUAGAGCUGUCACUCACAAAGAGAGGAAUACUGCAAGCUCUGAAUCACCCAGAGAAGGUUGGAGUUCAUUUUAUAGAAGUCGAGUAGAAUGCCGGCUGCCAGAGGCGAGGAGGGGUACGUGUAGAGGGCUGGAAACAAUAGCCAGGGAGUUACAGUCAAACAGGAAAAGGAAGCUGUGGAGUCUAUUGCAAGGCAGGGCAACUGUAGAUGACAAUAUGCUAUACAUUUCAUUUAAAAAAAAUUAGAGGUUGUUUUCAAGAAGCCAAGGUUGACCUCCAAUCCACUCUGUAGCUG